UCACAUUAUCAUACCUCACCCCAAUGUAUAUGCAGUCAUAAACAGAUUCAGAUAUAUCAAAAUGUCAUACACAGAUGUAUUGUGCUAAUUUUUGAACGAAACAGAUCAGAACAUGCCAAUGUCAUAUACAGAAAUACAGAUCAGAUAUGCCAAUUUUAUAUAACUAAGCAUGCUUUCAGGAAUUAUAAAGACAUCCCUAACGUACCAAAAAUUGCUAAAUAUUGGUUGCUUUGUUACCAUCUAUGGAUACAUACAGAAUGUUAUUUUCAAACCUACGACCCAAAACACAUCCCAAACAAUUCUGCUCGAAAUGGGCCCACAUGACCCAACCUAUUGGGCCCACACGCUCGUGUGGCUCACACGGUCGUGUGACGUUGAUUGACAGUUUCAUUCGCAUCGUUUAAUGAAUUUUUUGAGCUCGGGUCACACACCUGAUCGAUUCUGAGAUGUCGACAGAACAACAUCACCAAAUUCUGCACAAACGACAUAAAGAAACAUUUAAUUACACAGAAAUGACCCUUACUUCCUAAAGAAAAUCGUGUUAGAAUUGUAAAAUAAGUCUAAAAUAAAAUUUAAUAAAUCAGGACUAUCAUGUCAAAUCAUCAAGAAUAAAACUAGAUACGAAAGCGUAACUGAAACCAUGAAUUACUUGAAAUUUUUCCGGAUCUUGAAGAUUUGAUCUUCCAAAUUAGCAAAUAAGAAAUUUAGAGAAUAUUUGCUCUCCUUUUACUAAUGAUGGGAUAUUAGAAAAGAUAUCUUGUAUGUAAUUUGGGACCAUAACCCUAAUAUUUAUAACAUUAGCACAUUAGUUCUAAUUCCUAAUUAGCCCAUCAUUCAUUAGGAUUUGAUUAAAACUCAAUUACUAGAGUAUCUACACAUAUUUGACCAAUACUUUAUUUAAUAAUUAAAGCCCAAUAAAAUUUUAACCAAAUUAGAUUACUUUUAAUUUGGGCUAACCUAUCAUGAUAGUAAAUAAUAACAAGUAAUUACCCUUAUUAUAUAUGUGAUGUCCAUAUUUUUCAACAAGUCGACCAAAAACUAACACAUUCGUCAACAAAAUUCCCGAAUUAACCAACCAGCUCUCCAAAAAUCGGCAUUUAGCACUCAUCUCGCAAAUAAAAAAAACAGCAACUAGCGGAGUUAAUUGGAGGAUCAGGUAAUUCACGCUCCUCACCUAACCAAAAUUAUAAAAGAUCAAUUAACCCCAACAACACAACGAUAAUUAGUACCCAAAGUAACAUUCGAAGAACUUACUUAGGAUGAAGUUACAAAUCCUACUCCGAGAUACUUACCACGCACAGCCGAAACAAAUCAAUUGGCAAAGAGGCGGCAAAACAGAAAACAAGAUAAAAAUCAAGGGAAACAGUAGAAUAGAAGCAAAGGGGUGGCAAAAGAGAAAAAUUCAACAGAAGGGCAAAAGAAAAGAGAAAAAACUACAACCUAUCAGAUUUAUUUAGUAGUUGAGUUUGACCGAAACUCUAACACCUUAGGUGGCAACAAGUGACAGAGCAAAAAUAAUUCCACUUUUGCAAACAACAAGAUUUGAACAAAGGACUCAUAAGUAAGCUAAAGCUGGUAAACUCAUUUUUAUUAGUAACCUUACAAAAAUUAAAAAUAACCCUUACCAACCAAGACAUAUAUGGUAUCAAAAUUAAUGGAAAAAUUGUAAACACAAG
rnacentral:lncRNA from 1 species